CGCAUCUGUGCAUGCAGCAUAUCAAUAAGCGGAGGAAAAGAAACUAACAAGGAUUCCCCUAGUAACGGCGAGUGAAGCGGGAAGAGCUCAAAUUUGAAAUCUUAAAGGGUUUCCCUUUACGAAUUGUAGUUUAAAGAAGUGUUUUCUGUUGAGGUUUUGGUAAAAGUUCUUUGGAAUAGGACAUCAUAGAGGGUGAGAAUCCCGUAUUUGACCUUUACUUUCAACUUUGUGAUACACUUUCAAGGAGUCGGAUUGUUUGGGAAUGCAGUCCAAAAUGGGUGGUAAAUUUCAUCUAAAGCUAAAUAUUGGCGAGAGACCGAUAGCGAACAAGUACCGUGAGGGAAAGAUGAAAAGAACUUUGAAAAGAGAGUUAAACAGUACGUGAAAUUGUCAAAAGGGAAGCGUUUGACACCAGUGUUGUUUUUCUGAAAAUCAAUUAAAGAACUGUUUAUGCUAAGUUGUUUAGACUUUAUCAGCUAACUGUUUAGUUUUGAGCUUUUCUUUAAUGCACUUUUCAGUUAACAAGUCAACAUCAAUUUCUUUUGCUGUAAAAAAGCUUGAGGAAGGUGGCUUGAGAUUCGUCUUAAGUGUUUAUAGCCUCUUGCCUAUGCAGUCGGAGAGAUUGAGGUCUGCAGCGUAGAUCCUUCGGGGCUAAAUGCAUUUGUGCUAAGUUAUAACAUUUUAUAGACAACUUGUUGACUAUGAUUUGUCUUGUAGCUUACUCGCUUAUGUUAUUUUACCUACGCUUAGGAUGUUGACAGCAGUAUAGACUGU
rnacentral:rRNA from 1 species